rnacentral:rRNA from 1 species
UACGUAGGGUCCAAGCGUUAUCCGGAAUCACUGGGCGUAAAGCGUGCGUAGGUGGAUGUUUAAGUGUAAUGCGAAAUCCUGUGGCUCAACCAUAUGGACUGUAUUGCAUACUGGGCAUCUAGAGGAUGGUAGAGGCAAGUGGAACUGGCAGUGUAGCAGUGAAAUGCGUAGAUAUUGCCAAGAACACCAAUGGCGAAGGCAGCUUGCUGGGCCACACCUGACACUAAGGCACGAAAGCGUGGGGAGCGAA